rnacentral:lncRNA from 1 species
UACGUCCUACAUUUUUACUCAGGGAAGAUGGUUCUAUGCUUUGUUGGCUUGUCUUGAGAAACCUUUGCUACCUGAGGCUCACUCACUGAUUCGACAGCUUGCCAGAAGGUGUUCUGAAGUGAGGCUCCUGGUGGUGAGUUCUUGUACUAUUUCAGAGUCUGCCUACUAUGGUAGAAAAGAAAACAUAUGAGAUAGAAAAAUGUGGAAUAUGUUAUUAAUUGGGAUUAAAGAGUCUACAGAAACAAAAAAACUGAGAGUACAUUAAAUAGUGAAACCAGAUAUAGUGACACACGACUGUAAUCCCAGCAUCUAGGAGGUAGAAAAAGGAGUAUUGCAGUUCAAGCCCAACCUGGGCUAUAUAUAAAAGACCCUCUGUAAAAAAAAAAAAAAAAA